rnacentral:rRNA from 1 species
GAUGAACGCUGGCGGCGUGCCUAAUACAUGCAAGUCGAGCGAACAGACGAGGAGCUUGCUCCUCUGACGUUAGCGGCGGACGGGUGAGUAACACGUGGAUAACCUACCUAUAAGACUGGGAUAACUUCGGGAAACCGGAGCUAAUACCGGAUAAUAUAUUGAACCGCAUGGUUCAAUAGUGAAAGACGGUUUUGCUGUCACUUAUAGAUGGAUCCGCGCCGCAUUAUCUGGUUGGUAAGGUAAAGGCUUACCAAGGCAACGAUGCGUAGCCGACCUGAGAGGGUGCUAGGCCACCCGGGAAGUGGGACACCGUCCAGACUCCUGCGGGAGGGAACAGUAGGGAAUCGUGCGCAAUGGGCGCAAACCUGACGGAACAACGCCGCGUGAGUGAUGAAGGUCUUCGGAUCGUAAAACUCUCUUAUUAGGGAAGAACAAAUGUGUCAGUAAAUAUGCACGUCUUGACGGUGCCUAAUCAGAAAGCUACGGCUAACUACGUG